UGUGGGAGCAUAUUAAUUAGUGCUUUGAAUUUGCUUAAGUUUUUUGUUCCUUGGGACGACUUCCCUGGAGGCAGAAAUACUCUGUUGCAGUAGCCCUAUAUUGUGGUUUGUUUUUUUUAUUGAGCUGAGCUGGCAAUUGUGAUCCCUACUCCUGCCCACCUCCAUUCAUUCUCCACUCAGACUUUCUUCUGUGUGGGCAGCACUGGUCCAAGUUGGAGAUUUUGUGUUGGCCUUGCUCUUUGAGCCAAUCCAUGUUGCUAAGGAAAAUGCUGUGGGCUUGUCUAUGGGAUCAAAUUACAAUGCAUGGCUAUUGAGAUGGGAAAUGUCUUCACUUAAACUUCACAGGAUAUUGAAACCAGUCUUAGCAAAGAGACGAGUUAGAAGCAAAAAUCAAUAUUGGACAAUGCUGAAAUGCCUCUGUUCAGCUGCUGUUUUAAGUGGCUUGUACAGACCUUUCAAAUCAUGUUGCCAACAAAUGGAGGAAAUACAGCUUUUAAAAAGUCAGAGAAUUAUUAAUAGUGUGCUUGACCUCCAGCUCUGCACAGUCUACAAAAAAAGCAUCAUUUUUCAUAUGCUGCUGCCUUAUGUCUAAUUCUGCAAGCCCUGUUAGGAAGCAGUUGCGCAUAGGAGAAGUGCAUUCAGAGAGUGAGGGUCAAAGCUUUAGAUCCAUGAUGGACUGUGGGAGGGAAGGAGAGCGGGAACAGCUCAUGUUCAACCCCUGAACAAAAAGGGAGGGGUUCAGGAACCCUACACCUCAUAUAUCAUUCACAUGCUAAUGAUAUUUCUUGUCCUAAUGUGUGAGAGAAGAAAAUUAACUGUGCUGAGGUUACGCUUGCAGCUUUCCAGCAGGGAUAGAGAAGUAUGAAAAGAAGCAAAUGUCAGAUGGCUUCAUAAGAAAAUGAAUGCUCUAGCCACUACCCUGGUGUCUGAGGAGUGACUGGGGAACCAGCACCUCCAAUUGUGCUCCCCAGCAGGCUAAUCUGUUGCACAGCAUUUAUAGCACAAAGAAGCAGUCUGAACCUUUAUUAACUUUAACCACUGCCUGAGUAACCUAAAGUGACAAUCCAUCUCUCUCAUUGCUGUUAUUAAGUCAGUUUUGAUAGGACAAUGAUAAGGACAAUGCCUUAUCAUCUGCAGAAAAAAUGGAGAGGAGAUACAAUGCAGACAGCAAGUUUCUAGGUAAAAUUAAUCUGUCUGAGAAGAGGAGAAAAACGCUGCACACUGUGCUGAACAAAUCUUUGCAUUGAUUUCUGGAAACAGAGUCUUUCUAGGAGCACCACAAAUGCUUAUCUUUAUUUAGUGCUUGGAUUCAAAGAGCUGUCAAUCUUCCUCUAUCCAGAUAACUCCCAUUUGUGUUCAGGUCUGGGGUGUUUUAGGGUCAUACAUUAUUUCUGCUUGUGCUGUUCCUGCUUUUCACUUUGCUGCCAGCUCUGCAGUUCUUCAUCAGCCUCACACAGCCACGUGUGCAAACAGAACCACUCCAGCCCCACUGCUUGGUGGCAGUGGGCAGUGUCCAGGUGACACGUGGCACUGCUGCAGCUCCAAGAGUGCACGUGCAAACCUUGGAAAUGCAAUACUUGUUCUCACAGAGAGCCUUAAACAAUCAUUUAAAUAUACAUGGAGAUCUCAUUUACGCAUUGUCAUCUGAGAGCCCAAAUCUUAUCUGUCUAUGGUCAUGCUGUGUGUGGACUCUGUGGCCCAACAAAGAACUAAUUCCUCCUCUCUGACUGUCGUACCUACUAUCUGGUUCUGUGUCCAGUGCAUAGGAAUAAAAAGGCAAUUCUUUUAUACCUCCCCUUCAAUUCAGAUGGGAUUAAGCCUGCCUUUCAGCUGGAUGGCUGAGGUAGCCUGAGAUAAAAUUUCAGGCCAGUAAAAAGUUACUACUCCUGCACAGAGAAAGAUGAAAGGAAAGUAGUUGUGAAUUGGAGAGAUAAACAGCUCCUGGGGAAGCUCCACUACACAGCAGUAAUAGCUCAAGUCUGUGGUUUAAAAUCACGGUCUUAACUACAGUAAACAGAGCCAGUUAUAGUGGCUUUUUUUUUCAAGGUGAAGGCUAGAAUGCAGGCCAUGGAAGACAGACAUGGAAAAUUUGUACACUAUUUAAGAAUCCCUCACUGAACUUAUCCCACAUCCUAUUAGAAGUUCCAGGACCUGUAACAAUAAGCUUACAUACAUAACUACAGUCACUACAGGAUGAACCAAUGCAUUGCAAGUAAGGAGGUCUGUAUCCAAACACCACGGGAGGUGGAUUUGUCACAUAAAUACCAUCUUUCUUUACCUUGAGCUCUUGUGGGAACCCUAAGUUAAUUUCUGUUCACACAGGAUCACUUGGUGUUUACCGUCAUUUAUAUAGGACAAUAUUUGGUUUAGUUCCUCUUUGAAAUAAGGUAUUUUACCUUACAGUUACCCAUGCAUCUUACUAUUUUGCCUCAGCAAACAGAAGGGGGAAAAAUAAGAAAAGUGGUUUUAAUUUUUAUUUUCUUUUGUCAGGGAAAGUAUGUGGAACUAAAAAGAAGAAAAUGGAAGGGAGGUGAAGGUCUUGUCAGCAAGCAGAACUAGUUUCAGAACUAGUUAGAGACUCAUGAGCAUCUUGGGGAGAAACAGAUGCUCCUGGGAGCUUGCCUCUUGGGGCACACCUGUGUUCCUGGGGACAGACAGACCCUGGCUUGAGCUGUGCAGGCUUUUGAGGUGACUGGACGCAGCCAGCUCUGCUCCCAGGCAGCACAGAGCUGCUGUAGGAGGGCACAGUGCCUGAACACUGUGCUGUGCCUCUCAGCAUAUUACACAGCUCUGUGGUUCGUGGAGUGGAAGUGUCUCCUGUGUGCUUCAUCCAGGUCUGGACAAAGGUAGCUUGAGUGGAGUGCAAUUGCCUCUGUGUCCUCAUGUCCUUAAUCAUCACGGCAGUUGUCCUCACUGCUCCGCCAGCUCUGCUUGUAUCCUCACUCCUCUCCUUGCUGAGCAUCUCCUCUCCUGUUAAAUUUAUCUCUCUUGUAUUACUCACUGUCUCUUUGCUGUCAUGAGCUGCAUGCAAAUGCCUGGCUUAUUGUUUGAGAUAAUGCAUUUCUGCUAUCGCAAUGAAAUAAGUGUAUUCCAUUUGUUUAUUAGCUAAUUAAACUAACCUCUAGAAAACGG